rnacentral:rRNA from 1 species
UACGGAGGAUCCAAGCGCUGUCCGGAAUCAUUGGGCGUAAAGCGCGCGUAGGCGGCCUCGUAAGUCCGUUGUGAAAGUCAAAGGCUCAACCUUUGAAAGCCGAUGGAUACUGUGAGGCUAGAGUCCGGAAGAGGCGAGUGGAAUUCCUGGUGUAGCGGUGGAAUGCGCAGAUAUCAGGAGGAACACCAAUAGCGAAGGCAGCUCGCUGGGACGGUACUGACGCUGAGACGCGAAAGCGUGGGGAGCGAACAGG